rnacentral:rRNA from 1 species
GACGAACGCUGGCGGCGUGCCUAAUACAUGCAAGUCGAGCGAACGGAAGAGGAGCUUGCUCCUCGGAAGUUAGCGGCGGACGGGUGAGUAACACGUGGGCAACCUGCCCUUAAGACUGGGAUAACUCCGGGAAACCGGGGCUAAUACCGGAUAAUGCUUUGAGCUUCAUGGUUUAAAGCUGAAAGGCGGCUUCGGCUGUCACUUAAGGAUGGGCCCGCGGCGCAUUAGCUAGUUGGUGAGGUAACGGCUCACCAAGGCGACGAUGCGUAGCCGACCUGAGAGGGUGAUCGGCCACACUGGGACUGAGACACGGCCCAGACUCCUACGGGAGGCAGCAGUAGGGAAUCUUCCGCAAUGGACGAAAGUCUGACGGAGCAACGCCGCGUGAGUGAAGAAGGUUUUCGGAUCGUAAAGCUCUGUUGUUAGGGAAGAACAAGUACCAUAGUAACUGAUGGUACCUUGACGGUACCUAACCAGAAAGCCACGGCUAACUACGUGCCAGCCGCCGCAGUAAAAC